rnacentral:lncRNA from 1 species
UUAGUUUUUCUUCUUAAGAAAGAACCUCCAGAACAGAAACUGUACUUACAGAAAAUAUAAAUAACAGUGCGUUUAACAUUAGAUAGCAAGCACAGAGAUACCAUCAGCUUCAUUAGAUAAUCCUGAGCUACUCAUUGAAUGGCUGUAACAAUGCACUUCUAGCAUGAGUCAAGGAGAUAACUGAUAUACUAGCCUGGAAAAAUCCCACUCACUGCUAAAUUUCUAGGAGAGACUUCCAAGGUGAAGGGGCACUGAACAGAGUAUACUGGAAUCAUCUUUACAUCGUACUUCUUCUCUUGCCCAGGAAUGGAUACCUUAACACCUCUUUCAAGAGUGUUUCCCAUACCAUCUUUAUUUUCAGAGCAGUUUCAUGAGGCACGUUUGAAAACUUCUGAUAUGAAUCUGCCUGCAAGCGCAGCGCACCAGCAGCUGCCCAAAACAUCCACUUCUCAUAUCUUCAAUUACACUGAAUCAGACAACAGUAUAACCUAGGCAUACACACAUUUACAAAGAAGACUGAUGACACAAUCCUGGCAACUGUCUGUUCCUUGAAGAGUCUAGCAUUUCCC